GCUAAGUGCGUUGCAGGAGCGGGGGAAAGAGGAAGGGUGCAAUGGUUAAUCGGAAUUACUGAGCGGAAAGCGGGCGUAGGAGGGGCUUUAAGUCUGCUGGGAAAUCACCGGGCUCAACCUGGGAAGGGCAGGGGAUAGUGGAGAGCUAGAGUAUGAUAGAGGAUGGUGGAAUUCCCGGUGGAGCGGUGAAAUGCGUAGAGAUCGGGAGGAACAUCAGUGGCGAAGGCGGCCAUCUGGAUCAACACUGACGCUGAGGCACGAAAGCGUGGGGAGCAAACAGGAUUAGAUACCCGUGUAGUC
rnacentral:rRNA from 1 species